rnacentral:lncRNA from 1 species
GUUUGAGCCCAGGAGGUCGAGGCUGCAGUAACCUAUGAUUUUGCCACUGCACUCCAGCCUGGGCGACACAGCAAGACCCUGUCUUAGAAAAUAAAAUAUAUAUAAUAUUUCAUAUUGCUGCCAUUGUAGCACAAAAAAAUGCCAUAAACAACACAUAAAUUGCCAUGGUUGUGUGUUAAUAAAACUUUACUGAGAAACACAGGCAGUGGGCCACAUUUGGUCUGCCAGCC